rnacentral:lncRNA from 1 species
UUUUCUUAUUAUUAUUUCUCUCUUCUCCCCCACUCUGUGUUAAUAGUGGGGGAAAUCUCUCCCUAAAUCUUCUCCACUCCGUGUUAAUGGUGGAGGAAAUCUCCCCCCAAAUCAAGCCACCCCGGCCCGAUCAUAGAUAAAUCAAAGUAUAUAGGCAUGGGUUUGAACCCCACACCUCAUGUGGGGAACCCAAACUCACAACCACCAAGCCAAACUCCAAACCAU